rnacentral:rRNA from 1 species
UACGAAGGGUGCAAGCGUUACUCGGAAUUACUGGGCGUAAAGCGUGCGUAGGUGGUGAGUUAAGUCUGUCGUGAAAGCCCCGGGCUCAACCUGGGAAUGGCGAUGAAGACUGUAAGGCUAGAGUGUGUCAGAGGGGGGUAGAAUUCCACGUGUAGCAGUGAAAUGCGUAGAGAUGUGGAGGAACACCAGUGGCGAAGGCGGCUCUCUGGACAGGUACUGACGCUGAGACGCGAAAGCGUGGGUAGCAAACAGG